rnacentral:rRNA from 1 species
CCGGCUAAUUACGUGCCAGCAGCCGCGGUAAUACGUAGGGCGCAAGCGUUUUCCGGAAUUAUUGGGCGUAAAGAGCUCGUAGGCGGUUUUGUUGUGUUUGCCGUGAAAGUCCGGGGCUCAACUCCGGAUCUGCGGUGGGUACGGGCAGACUAGAGUGAUGUAGGGGAGACUGGAAUUCCUGGUGUAGCGGUGAAAUGCGCAGAUAUCAGGAGGAACACCGAUGGCGAAGGCAGGUCUCUGGGCAUUAACUGACGCUGAGGAGCGAAAGCAUGGGGAGCGAACAGGAUUAGAUACCCUGGUAGUCCAUGCCGUAAACGUUGGGCACUAGGUGUGGGGGACAUUCCACGUUUUCCGCGCCGUAGCUAACGCAUUAAGUGCCCCGCCUGGGGAGUACGGCCGCAAGGCUAAAACUCAAAGGAAUUGACGGGGGCCCGCACAAGCGGCGGAGCAUGCGGAUUAAUUCGAUGCAACGCGAAGAACCUUACCAAGGCUUGACAUGAACCGGAACGCCUGGAGACAGGUGCCCCGCUUGCGGUCGGUUUACAGGUGGUGCAUGGUUGUCGUCAGCUCGUGUCGUGAGAUGUUGGGUUAAGUCCCGCAACGAGCGCAACCCUCGUUCUAUGUUGCCAGCACGUGAUGGUGGGGACUCAUAGGAGACUGCCGGGGUCAACUCGGAGGAAGGUGGGGACGACGUCAAAUCAUCAUGCCCCUUAUGUCUUGGGCUUCACGCAUGCUACAAUGGCCGGUACAAAGGGUUGCGAUACUGUGAGGUGGAGCUAAUCCCAAAAAGCCGGUCUCAGUUCGGAUUGGGGUCUGCAACUCGACCCCAUGAAGUCGGAGUCGCUAGUAAUCGCAGAUCAGCAACGCUGCGGUGAAUACGUUCCCGGGCCUUGUACACACCGCCCGUCAAGUCACGAAAGUUGGUAACACCCGAAGCCGGUGGCCUAACCCCUUGUG